ACGCUGGCGGCAGGCCUAACACAUGCAAGUCGAGCGGUAGAGAGAAGCUUGCUUCUCUUGAGAGCGGCGGACGGGUGAGUAAUGCCUAGGAAUCUGCCUGGUAGUGGGGGAUAACGUUCGGAAACGGACGCUAAUACCGCAUACGUCCUACGGGAGAAAGCAGGGGACCUUCGGGCCUUGCGCUAUCAGAUGAGCCUAGGUCGGAUUAGCUAGUUGGUGAGGUAAUGGCUCACCAGGCGACGAUCCGUAACUGGCCUGAGAGGAUGAUCAGUCACACUGGAGCUGAGACACGGUCCAGACUCCUACGGGAGGCAGCAGUGGGGAAUAUUGGACAAUGGGCGAAAGCCUGAUCCAGCCAUGCCGCGUGUGUGAAGAAGGUCUUCGGAUUGUAAAGCACUUUAAGUUGGGAGGAAGGGUUGUAGAUUAAUACUCUGCAAUUUUGACGUUACCGACAGAAUAAGCACCGGCUAACUCUGUGCCAGCAGCCGCGGUAAUACAGAGGGUGCAAGCGUUAAUCGGAAUUACUGGGCGUAAAGCGCGCGUAGGUGGUUUGUUAAGUUGGAUGUGAAAUCCCCGGGCUCAACCUGGGAACUGCAUUCAAAACUGACUGACUAGAGUAUGGUAGAGGGUGGUGGAAUUUCCUGUGUAGCGGUGAAAUGCGUAGAUAUAGGAAGGAACACCAGUGGCGAAGGCGACCACCUGGACUAAUACUGACACUGAGGUGCGAAAGCGUGGGGAGCAAAC
rnacentral:rRNA from 1 species